UCCAAGAUUAGCUGGAUACAUAGAUCUGAGCUUGGGGAGCCGCAAGCGGCAUGAUGGUUGGAAGAGUAAGACGGGGACUGCUCACCUGGAGUUUUCCCAUUGACUUGUGAACGCUGCACACACACAUAAGGCAAGCCCCGCCCCCCGGCCGUUAAUAGGCUCUGAGUUCACCUUUACUGCCACACCCAGACACGGACUGUCUUCAUCUCUCAGGUAUGGCCAAGUGAGACAAGGACAAAAGAGCCAUUUGGUCUACCUGCCUCACCUAUCUUGGACUCCUGCAACAAAAUGAUUUGAGGCAAAGUCUUGGUCUAAUUAAUUGAUGAGCUAUAUGUAUAGCAGACAAGAGAACCCUGGUCAAUGGAACCCCAAAGUCUGUGGAGACUGAUAAAAUAUCCAGCGGAGAUGUUCCAAGAAGACUGAUGUACAAACUGGCCAGACCCUUUACAAAGGCGUGUGUACAUAGCUAUGAAAAGUAUGGUGUCACUCAAGGUCACAAGCUCAAAUUGGUCGGAGUCCGCAAAGAGACGGGAGUCAUUACCUCGUUUGGUUGCUUAGCAGGGUUGAGCCAGCAAAUUAGCCACUUCCACGGAAGUUCUGCUGUACUGGCGUCCUACCCUAGUUAGCAUCUCAUCUCGCUUCUUGAUCACCAGCCUCAGAGAGAAAUGCCUGCCAGGACCUCGUGACCAUGAAUGUGCUGCCUUUGAAACAAAUCAAAACAACCAAACCAUUCCAAUGACGAUAAUAAUAACAACCCACCUGCAACAGUAACUGAAGAGGCAAGAAUGCAUCCUAGGCCUUGAAAGAGUCUUUCUUGGGCCCUAUCUCCUAGUAAGGAAGCCCAGGCAGAUCAUAAAAAGUCACAUGGAGAAGAAUCAGGGGCCCUUCCCCUGACUGAGCUCUUAGUCGGCAGCUAAUUGCACUUCUCUGGCCGUAUGAGUGACUCAUCGUGAAGCAGGUCUUGGUGCUCCAGUGCAGCUGCCGAAGAUGGUCUCUCGGGAACAGUUACGGAUCUCCCACGUACCAGAUCCCUGUUCAAACUUCCCAACUCGUGUGAGGUGGCACAUUUGCAGACCCAGUAGUGAGGAAGCUGAGGCAGGAGAAGAAAGAAUUCAAGGCCAACCUAACCGACAGUGAGAGCUCCAGACCACCCAGGGAGAUGUAGUGGGAGCACCUGUCUCAAACAAAUACAAAGUAACAAACAACAACAACAAAAAUCUUUCUUGUUUUAAGGUGUUUGUUAUUUUGUUACAGUGACUAAUGCCUAAACACAAUCUUCCCUCCUGCAACCUCUCUCUGCAUCCUUUUUUUUUUUUUUA
rnacentral:lncRNA from 1 species